rnacentral:rRNA from 1 species
UGCGUAGGUGGUUGUUUAAGUCAGAUGUGAAAGCCCCGGGCUUAACCUGGGAACUGCAUUUGAAACUGGAUAACUAGAGUAUAGUAGAGGAAAGUAGAAUUUCUGGUGUAGCGGUGAAAUGCGUAGAUAUCAGAAGGAAUACCGAUGGCGAAGGCAGCUUUCUGGACUAAUACUGACACUGAGGUACGAAAGCGUGGGUAGCAAACA